rnacentral:lncRNA from 1 species
CUGAAAUACGGAUUAUUGCUCUUCCCUUCAUCACUCUUCAUUCUUGCUUUGUUUCCAAGGAAGAACCCCAAAGGCUUCAUGAAUACCCUUGCUGGUGGCAGAGAAGUUUUGGCAGACUGGAAAGGAAGUGCCAGAAAUUCAUCCAGUGCAUGGAAGUAUGAAGAUGAACAAUGACUUUUCCCUCGUUGAGAGGAAACAGCCCCAUAAAUGCAAUGAGCAGAUAUUCUGCAUGGUGCAAUAACAGUGAAGGAGGACUGAGUGUUAAGAUCAAUUCCCUUGUGCCAAAGAAGGUCUGAAAAUAAAAAAGCAAGAUGAGAACA